rnacentral:rRNA from 1 species
UGCAAGUCGAACGGUAACUUUUAGUGCUUGCACUGAAAGACGAGUGGCGGACGGGUGCGUAACGCGUAUGCAAUCUACCUUUUACUAGGGUAUAGCCCAGAGAAAUUUGGAUUAAUCCCCUAUAAUAUCAUGAAAUCGCAUGGUUUUAUGAUUAAAGCUUCGGCGGUAAAAGAUGAGCAUGCGUCCUAUUAGUUUGUAGGUGAGGUAACGGCUCACCUAGACUACGAUAGGUAGGGGCCCUGAGAGGGGGAUCCCCACACUGGUACUGAGACACGGACCAGACUCCUACGGGAGGCAGCAGUGAGGAGUAUUGGACAAUGGACGAAAGUCUGAUCCAGCUAUGCCGCGUGCAGGAUGACAGCCCUACGGGUUGUAAACUGCUUUUAUACAGGAAGAAACACCCCGACGUGUCGGGGCUUGACGGUACUGUAAGAAUAAGGAUCGGCUAACUCCGUGCCAGCAGCCGCGGUAAUACGGAGGAUCCAAGCGUUAUCCGGAAUUAUUGGGUUUAAAGGGUCCGCAGGCGGUUUUUUAAGUCAGAGGUGAAAUCCUGCAGCUCAACUGUAGAAUUGCCUUUGAAACUGAAAGACUUGAGUUAUUGUGAAGUGGUUUAAAUGGGUGGUGUAGCGGUGAGAAGGAUAAAUAUCCCACCAGAAUACAAAUGGCGAGGCAGGAUCACUAACAAUAAACUGACCGCUCAGGGACGAAAGCGUGGGUAGCGAACAGGAUUUAGAUACCCUGGGUAGUCCACGCCGUAAACGAUGGAUACUAGCUG